rnacentral:rRNA from 1 species
UAAAGUAAAAAACUGAGGAAGGCCCUCUUUAAUCUUUAUUAACUGGUUAUCUUGAGUUCUGGAGACGGUUUAUUGAACUUCUUACGGAAGGGUAAAAUUGUUGAUAAUGAAGGACAUUCGAUGGCGAAAGCAGUCACCGAUCCAGAUCUGACGCUAUGUACUAAAGCAUGGGUAUGAAACGGAUUAGAGACCGUGUAGUCCAUGCCUUAAACUUGAGUGUUAAACAUCUUUAGUUUUCUUGUUUGAGGAAUCCGGGUGGACCUCAAACCGAGAUCUAUGGGGAUUUUAAGCUAACGCGUAAAACACCGCCUGAGGAAUGUGGCCGCAAGGUU